rnacentral:sRNA from 1 species
GUGACAUCUCUGAAGACUGAAAUCCUGUUUAUCCACAGAACAAGUACAGCCAUGGAGGCAUCAAUAGAAACUUUUCUCACUUCCCAGUAAAUGUCUCCUCCCUGUUUUGGAGGGACCCUUGCUAGAAGUGAGAGAAGUUCUGUCUCUGGGUCUCACUCUAGUAUUGAU